rnacentral:tRNA from 1 species
UGGCUCAGUUGGUAGAGUAUGGUGCUUGGAAUGCCAGCGUUGUGGGUUUGAUUCCCAC